rnacentral:lncRNA from 1 species
GCGGUCGGGGGAGCGGGCGGAGGAGUCCGGGUGUUCGCCGCCGGGAGGAAACGCGCCUUUCAGGCGGUCUUGAACUUGGACGUGCCGGGACAGGGCACUUCAAACAGCGGUAAAGCCAGUAUGCGCGCAGUUUGCCUCCUAACAGCCUGGCAAGCUCAGUAGUGGAAGUCGUCAAGUAGUUUUUUUUUUUUUUUUUAAGUUAAAAAUUCAAGAGUGGAACUGGAAGUACGACUGUGGAGUAACCAGGAGAGAAGAUGAUGAUUUGAUUAUGAGUCAAAAAGCUCCGCUCUGGAGCUCAGACCCACAAACAAAACGUCACACCUCUGCCAGGCAAGAAAGACCCCAGUGAAUAAAGGUUCCUGAGAUCACGGAAAAGAUAUAUAAUGUGCUGUAA